AGAGUUUGAUCCUGGCUCAGAUUGAACGCUGGCGGCAUGCCUUACACAUGCAAGUCGAACGGUAACGCGGGGCAACCUGGCGACGAGUGGCGAACGGGUGAGUAAUGCAUCGGAACGUGCCCAGUAGUGGGGGAUAGCCCGGCGAAAGCCGGAUUAAUACCGCAUACGACCUACGGGUGAAAGGGGGGGAUCGCAAGACCUCUCGCUAUUGGAGCGGCCGAUGUCAGAUUAGCUAGUUGGUGGGGUAAAAGCCUACCAAGGCGACGAUCUGUAGCUGGUCUGAGAGGACGACCAGCCACACUGGGACUGAGACACGGCCCAGACUCCUACGGGAGGCAGCAGUGGGGAAUUUUGGACAAUGGGCGAAAGCCUGAUCCAGCCAUGCCGCGUGCGGGAAGAAGGCCUUCGGGUUGUAAACCGCUUUUGUCAGGGAAGAAAUCCUUUGGGCUAAUACCCCUGGGGGAUGACGGUACCUGAAGAAUAAGCACCGGCUAACUACG
rnacentral:rRNA from 1 species